rnacentral:piRNA from 1 species
UUAUUUUGUCGCAGAGAACAA